UUACGGUCACAUCACGUUGAAAUACCGGUUCCCGUACGAUUACAGAAGUUAAGCAACCUCGAGCCUGGUCGGUACUUGGGUGACCGCUUGAGAAAACCAGGUCUUG